CAGCAGCCGCGGUAACACGUAGGUGGCAAGCGUUGUCCGGAAUUAUUGGGCGUAAAGAGCUCGUAGGCGGUUUGUCGCGUCUGCCGUGAAAGUCCGGGGCUCAACCCCGGAUCUGCGGUGGGUACGGGCAGACUAGAGUGAUGUAGGGGAGACUGGAAUUCCUGGUGUAGCGGUGAAAUGCGCAGAUAUCAGGAGGAACACCGAUGGCGAAGGCAGGUCUCUGGGCAUUAACUGACGCUGAGGAGCGAAAGCAUGGGGAGCGAACAGGAUUAGAUACCCCCGUAGUCCCUGUCUCUUAUAU
rnacentral:rRNA from 1 species